GCAGCGUGUGAUCAAUAUUUUCUCCCAAAUCGUAUCUACACCAGCAAACCUCGUUUAUGUCCGAUGACGACUAAAACACGAUUAUACGUAUAGUAUAGGUUUUAGAUCACGAAUAUCACACCAUUAUUCAACCUCGUUACCAUUAUUUGGUGUGACAUUCUGACAAAUUAUAAACCACAUGGCUGACUGAGGACCAGUGUAAGUAUAAGUUAUUUAAGGCCGUU